UACGUAGGGUGCGAGCGUUAACCGGAAUUACUGGGCGUAAAGCGUGCGCAGGCGGGCUUUUAAGUCAGGCGUGAAAUCCUCGGGCUUAACCUGGGAAUGGCGUUUGGGACUGGAAGUCUGGAGUGCGGCAGAGGAGACUGGAAUUCCUGGUGUAGCAGUGAAAUGCGUAGAUAUCAGGAGGAACACCGGUGGCGAAGGCGGGUCUCUGGGCCGUAACUGACGCUGAGGAGCGAAAGCAUGGGGAGCGAACAGG
rnacentral:rRNA from 1 species